UUAAUCCCAUCAGCCAGGCAGAAAUCUAAUCUUGUGCUAUAAAUUAGCCACUCCAUUGUACGGGCUUGUCCUGAGUUAGUUACAUACAAAUUACCAGAUAAAUGUCAAAUUAAAAUGUGCCUCGGUAAGGCUCCGUUGUGGUCCGCUAGCAAAAACUUCGUAAAGUUCUGCUCACCUUGAAUUCUUUGUAUAGAUCCGGGUGCCUGUCUUUAAGGUGCUUUGCUAGAUUGGACGUGUUUCCUCCUUUCGUAUUGAAUCCCUUUCCACAUCUUCGGCAAAUUGGGUUUUGGGGAUUUAUUAUGUCCCCUUUGUCGUUUGGCCUGAAGCCAAAGUACUUCCAUAUGUGGCUCCUGGUUCCCUUUUUUUCAACUAGCUGAGGCGGAGCGGCCGCUCCCGCUGCACUCGAUGUAGCCAUCUCCACCCAACUGUUUAGCUAGCAGCGGGCGGAUGUAAACAUCUCUUACGUCCGUUUCCUUCGGUACCAUCGGUACUACCGGUACCAUGAAAAUACAAGUACCGACAGUACGACAGCAGUGCUGGUACCGACUUGGUACCGAAGUACCGAGUACCGUGACAACCCUAAACCCCAUACAUCACAGAACCCUGAUCCAACCCAUACAUCACAGAACCCUGAUCCAACCCCAUACAUCACAGAACCUUGAUCCAACCCCAUACAUCACAGAACCCUGAUCCAGCCUCAUACCAACACAGAACCCUGAUGCAACCCCAUACAUCACAGAACCCUGAUCCAACACUAUACCAUUACAGAACCCUGAUCCAACCUCAUACCAACACAGAACCCUGAUCCAACCUCAUACCAACACAGAACCCUGAUCCAACCUCAUACAUCACAGAUCCCUGAUCCAUCCCCAUACAUCACAGAUCCCUGAUCCAACCCCAUACAUCACAGAACCCUGAUCCAACACUAUACCAUUACAGAACCCUGAUCAAACCUCAUACCAACACAGAACCCUGAUCCAACCCCAUACCAUCACAGAACCCUGAUCCAACACUAUACCAUCACAGAACCCUGAGCCAACCCCAUAACAUCACAGAACCCUGAUCCAACC